UAGCGGUGAAAUGCAUAGAUAUCACGCAGAACUCCGAUUGCGAAGGCAGCAUACCGGCGCCCUACUGACGCUGAAGCACGAAAGCGUGGGUAUCGAACAGGAUUAGAUACCCUGGUAGUCCACGCAGUAAACGAUGAAUACUAAUUGUGUGCCCCGAAUGAGGGGUGCGUGAUACAGCGAAAGCGUUAAGUAUUCCACCUGGGGAGUACGCCGGCAACGGUGAAACUCAAAGGAAUUGACGGGGGCCCGCACAAGCGGAGGAACAUGUGGUUUAAUUCGAUGAUACGCGAGGAACCUUACCCGGGCUCAAACGCAGGAGGAAUGUUUUUGAAAGGAGGCAGCUCUACGGAGUCUCCUGCGAGGUGCUGCAUGGUUGUCGUCAGCUCGUGCCGUGAGGUGUCGGCUUAAGUGCCAUAACGAGCGCAACCCCUACCGCCAGUUGCCAACGGGUUAUGCCGGGAACUCUGGCGGGACUGCCGGCGCAAGCUGUGAGGAAGGCGGGGAUGACGUCAAAUCAGCACGGCCCUUACGUCCGGGGCGACACACGUGUUACAAUGGCAGGUACAGCGGGAAGCCACUUGGCGACAAGGCGCGGAACCCGAAAACCUGUCUCAGUUCGGAUUGGAGUCUGCAACCCGACUCCAUGAAGCUGGAUUCGCUAGUAAUCGCGCAUCAGCCACGGCGCGGUGAAUACGUUCCCGGGCCUUGCACACACCGCCCGUCAAG
rnacentral:rRNA from 1 species